rnacentral:rRNA from 1 species
CAUAUUAAUAAGCGGAGGAAAAGAAACUAACCAGGAUUCCCCUAGUAAGGGCGACUGAAGCGGGAAAAGCCCAUUCAAAAUCAGCGUGUCAAAGCGUUGAAUUGUGGUUUGGAGACACUUGCAUUAUUGGCCGCGCCAAGUCCCUUGGAAAGGGGCAGUACAAAGGGUGAAACUCCCGUCCACGUGGCCAUGCAAGCAAGCUGUCGAAGAGUCGAGUUGCUUGGGAUUGCAGCUCUAAGCGGGUGGUAAAUUCCAUCCAAGGCUAAAUACUGGUGAGAGACCGAUAGCGUACAAGUACCGUGAGGGAAAGAUGCAAAGAACUUUGAAAAGAGAGUUAAAGAGUACCUGAAAUUGCUGAAAAGGAAGCGAAGGAAACCAGUGCUAGAUGCGUCAUAUUUCCCUAAUCGCUUGCGAUUGGGGCGCUGUGUCCAUCGUUGACAAAAUCAUUUGCCAGGGCUGAAGGUGCUUUUAGGGGGUUUUCCUAAUGUGGCUGCAGCCUUGUGUGAGUGAUUAUGUCGAAAUGGUUUUCUUCUUCCCGUCUUG